CUACAAUAGCCAUUCUCCAGGGCUCCUCUGUCUGUUGGUCUGUGUAUCUGUCUGUCACACCAUUGAAACCUCACCUUGCUCUCGUGCAGCCAUGUCUGAUGUAGAGGAGGAAUAUGAGGGGGAGCAGGCGGAAGGUGAGUGGGUUGCUGAGCUGAGGUGUUAGUGUUGUUAUUGUUGGGCCAUACUUGGCCUUGCAUGUGGAAGUCUAUGACCCUGUUAUUAUUAACCAUUUCUCUCAGCUCCUAUUGCUUUCAGCAUACUGCUGAUAAAUGGUUUUUAAAGCCUCAAUCCCUCUAUUAGCCACACACUCUCCAUCUCACUUUUCACUCUCCAUCUCGCUCCAUUCCUUUAAUCGUCUAUCUCUUUAAUCAUCAUUCUAAUGUCUCUUUCCAUCCCAUUGUCAUCUAUCUAUUU
ensembl:lncRNA